GACGAACGCUGGCGGCGUGCCUAAUACAUGCAAGUCGAACGCUUCUUUCCUCCCGAGUGCUUGCACUCAAUUGGAAAGAGGAGUGGCGGACGGGUGAGUAACACGUGGGUAACCUACCCAUCAGAGGGGGAUAACACUUGGAAACAGGUGCUAAUACCGCAUAACAGUUUAUGCCGCAUGGCAUAAGAGUGGAAGGCGCUUUCGGGUGUCGUUGAUGGAUGGACCCGCGGUGCAUUAGCUAGUUGGUGAGGUAACGGCUCACCAAGGCCACGAUGCAUAGCCGACCUGAGAGGGUGAUCGGCCACACUGGGACUGAGACACGGCCCAGACUCCUACGGGAGGCAGCAGUAGGGAAUCUUCGGCAAUGGACGAAAGUCUGACCGAGCAACGCCGCGUGAGUGAAGAAGGUUUUCGGAUCGUAAAACUCUGUUGUUAGAGAAGAACAAGGACGUUAGUAACUGAACGUCCCCUGACGGUAUCUAACCAGAAAGCCACGGCUAACUACGUG
rnacentral:rRNA from 1 species